rnacentral:tRNA from 1 species
UCCCUUGUAGCUUAGUCAGUAAAGAAUCUGCCUGCAGUGCAGGAAACUUAGGUUCAAUUCCUGAGUCGGGAC